rnacentral:rRNA from 1 species
GGCGGCAUGCCUAACACAUGCAAGUCGAACGAGACCUUCGGGUCUAGUGGCGCACGGGUGCGUAACGCGUGGGAAUCUGCCCUUGGGUUCGGAAUAACAGCGAGAAAUUGCUGCUAAUACCGGAUGAUGACGUAAGUCCAAAGAUUUAUCGCCCAAGGAUGAGCCCGCGUAGGAUUAGCUAGUUGGUGAGGUAAAGGCUCACCAAGGCGACGAUCCUUAGCUGGUCUGAGAGGAUGAUCAGCCACACUGGGACUGAGACACGGCCCAGACUCCUACGGGAGGCAGCAGUGGGGAAUAUUGGACAAUGGGCGAAAGCCUGAUCCAGCAAUGCCGCGUGAGUGAUGAAGGCCUUAGGGUUGUAAAGCUCUUUUACCCGGGAUGAUAAUGACAGUACCGGGAGAAUAAGCUCCGGCUAACUCCGUGCCAGCAGCCGCGGUAAUACGGAGGGAGCUAGCGUUAUUCGGAAUUACUGGGCGUAAAGCGCACGUAGGCGGCUUUGU